UGGGUAACCUGCCUCAAAGAGGGGAAUAGCCUCCCGAAAGGGAGAUUAAUACCGCAUAAUAUGUUUAAGCCGCAUGACUUUAACAUCAAAGGAUUUUCUUUUAGAAAUUCCACUUUGAGAUGGACCCGCGGCGCAUUAGCUAGUUGGUGAGGUAACGGCUCACCAAGGCAACGAUGCGUAGCCGACCUGAGAGGGUGAUCGGCCACAUUGGAACUGAGACACGGUCCAGACUCCGUAGGGAG
rnacentral:rRNA from 1 species